AGAAGUUUGAAUUCAAAUCUGAUCUAAUUCAAAUUUUUAAAAUUUCAAAAACAUGUUUGAGUUGGAUUACUGGUUAGAGAUCAUAACGAAGACGUGGGCAUUGGUUUCGUUGGAUUUGGACAAACGAGUAAAAAGUUGUAGACGUUGGAAAUCAGGGGCUAAUCUAUAAAUAAAUUAUUCACAGAUGGGUCCCUGGCCGAAAAUAACAGAAAAAUAAAAAGCUAAAUAGUGAACGUUCGUUUAUAGGAUCUAAACAGUGGACGUUCGCAGUAUAACUAAACUUAAAAAAAAACAGAUCUAGGUUUUCUGUACAAAACCGAUCUAGGGUUUUUUGAAAAGAAAAACUAAGAAAAAACCAAAGCGGUUUAUUACCGGUUCGGAAUUUCGACGAAAACCAACGGUUUUUUGGCGGCGGACCGGGUCGGCGGUGGCGGGGUUCGUCGGCGUCGGAGAAGGGCGGCGGGCAGCUCGGGCUCGACCGGAGCGGCGGCUCUGGUGGCCUGCGGCGAGGGCGAAGUGGACGGGGAGGGGCGGCGCUGAGCGGCGGUCCCGUUGGCGGUGGUGGUGGCGACCGAGCGCGCUGGUGGAGCGCGGGGCGAGGCGGCGGAUCUCGCCGGCGGCGGCGGCUAUGCGGCUCGAGGCGGCGGCGAGAAGAGAGGAGAGAGAGAGGGGGGUCCGGCUCCUUUUUAAAGGGCCCUCGGGUGUGGCGCCUUGCGCGAGGGGCAGGGGAAGUCCGGCCUCGGCACGGACGCCGAGGUCGGCGCGGCGGCGCGCCGUGGCGCGGCUGGAAACCGAGCGGAGCUCGGGGACGAGCGGCAUGGGCCGUUGGGCCGCGGCCUGGCUCGGGCGCUGGGCCGGCCCAGUCGGCGACAGGGGGAGAGAGGAGAGAGAGAGCAGUGCUGGGCUUCGGCCUGGCACUGUUCGAAAAGAGUUUUUUCUUUAACAAAGAGAAAAAGAAAUAAAAUAUAAAAUAAAAUAUUAUAUAGGCAUAUAAUAUAUCAAAAUUUUCAGAAAAAGAUUUCCUACAGCGCGAACAUUUUUCUAAAGGCAAAUAAAAUCCUCAAAAAUUCAAAUAAAUCAAACAGUGCUACUGCCUUAAUAAAAUCCAAUAAAAAUUAUUUUUAAAAUACCCAAAAUGAUUUCAAAUUUAUUUCUCUCCAAUUUUCUGUUGUAGGGAAUCAUGUUACCCUAUUUUCUGUAUACUUUAUUUUUGGAGAAAAAUAAUUUGAAUAAAACUCAAAUAACUCCAAUAUUGAAAAAUAAUUUCAAUGGAACUUUGAAUUUAAUCCUUUGAAACUCCCAACUCAUAUUUCAUUUGUUUUGAAGAAGUCAUUUUAUCUUCUCUCGUGAAAAUCAUUGAGUUGCAUAAAGUUUCAGAAAUGGGAAAUAUUUUCAAAUGAAAUUCAAAUAUUUUGAACACCCCUUGUCAUUUAAAUAAAUGGAAGAAGUCAUGUCAUCUUCUCUCCAGGGUUUUGUGGUGAAAAGAAUUUGAAUUCAUGGAGAUCAUAAAAGCAAAAUGAAAGUUUGGGAAAGUACGUUUAUUCCCUCUCAUUUAACUUUCAAAAGAUUUCGAAUUCCACUCACUUUCAGUCAAUCAAUCAAACAAUCAAUCCAAUCUAUCUGUUUAUUAUAACAUUCCAAAAUUUAGAAUUUUGGGAUGUUACAAACCUACCACCCUUAAAAUGAAUCUCGUCCUCGAGAUUCGGAGAGGCUAGAAAGAAAUAGGUUAGGAUUUGGGGUCUUCUCAAAAUCCAUUGAUCAUCACCGGUGUCUGGGGUGCUACCACCCUUAGAAGCAUGGUUACGGUUCCAUCAAAACUCAUAUACUCCAUCCAUUAUUCUUGACAGUGUCGGUCUUCUCAGAUCUUCAGUAUAAUUCCUUCUCUGGGCUCUUCCGGUGGUGGCAUAACCUUUUCCUCAAUUCUUGUGUCCAUUCCAUCUUGGUAAGGUUAUUCCAUGACUGGGUCUUCUUAGCUGACGGGUCAGGCGCCAAUACUAAACAACUAUCGACAUCUCAUGGUGGUCAACAAUUUAUGGUUUCUCCUGCAGGAAAUGGGUCUGGUUGAUCCUCACCGUAUAACCUACGAUUGGCAUCAACUGCCGUGUACAAGGGAAACAUUCUUAUACCAUUCUAAGGUUCAAGCAAGGUUUAAUACCGUCGUCUCUCUACUAUAGGUAGGUCACUCAGAUUUACCAUACCAUAUAGCAAAGUGAACAAUAAGAGUAAGUCGGUAUGGUGAUCAAUCCAUCCCGCACCCAAAUCAUUACCUUUUAUAUGGUUUAGCGAAUCUCGCAUUGUAACACUCGGUCAUCCUCACAAGCAUUGCAGAAUUUCUCUUGUCAACGAACUAGGUUCGGAUAAAUCCAUGGAUUCUGCAAGCCAAACAAACAUCUAACGUUCCUUCCCAACCCUCAGGUUUUGCGUAACUCCUAUAAGAUCGUCUAUCGAUAAAAAUCGUAACUUCUUCCAGGGUCUUUCCUUCAUCAAGAAAUGUGCUUGCUUUUUGGCAGGUCCUGGGGCCUGUGGGUUAUGGCCCACCUCAUCACUGGUAAACCUUGAACUCAUCAUCGGGGAAACUGAUCCUUAAUCCAACAUCCAACUUCCUAGUAUUCUUAAAUCCAUCCAAUUGUAUUGUCUACCUUCCUUCUAUUGGCACCAAACUAGGACAUGAUUACUCAGACUCAUUAUGGAAUUUCCAUUGAUCCAUAUUUCCAACAUCAUACCUCCUUUAUAUCCAAUAGUAAUUUAUCCCUUCAUCCUCGUGGGAUAUACCACAUACCGAGAUAAAAAAACACUUAUACUUAUGAAGUCCAUACUCCACUUCGUGGAACAUAAUUAUCCUUUCCAGGGUCAAGCGUCCUUACAGGGGAAUAUUGGCCAUCUCUGCAUGGCACUUCUUCAACUGGGAAACGUGAAACACAUCAUGAACUCCUGACAGUCCUUCGGCUGACUCCAGCUUGUUGGCCACUUCUCCCAUACUCUCCAAAACUCGGUAUGGUCCUACAAAUCUCGGGACUAACUUUCCUUAACUCCAAAUCGUUUAACUCCUCGCAGAGGGGACACACGAAGACAUGCUCUGUCUCCAAUCUCAUAGACUACCUCCUUACGUUUUUGAUUCUGCAUAACUCUUCUGUCUGGACUAAGCUACCUUCAGUCUAUCUUGAAUCAACUUAACAUUCUCUUCUGACUACUUGAUCACAUUUGGUCCAAACAACUGACGGUCUCCAACUUCAUCCCACAUCAACGGUGUCUGGCUCCUUCUCCCAUACAAAGCUUCAAAAGGGGCCAUCUUCAAACUGGCUUGGUAACUGUUGUCGUAUGAGAACUCCGCGUAAGGUAGAUUAUCAUCCCUACUAGAUCCAUAAACUAGCGCACACGCUCUCAACAUGUCCUCCAGAAUCUGAUUGACUCUCUUGGUCUAUCCAUCUGUCUGCGGAUGAAAGGCUAUACUGAACUCUAGCCUAGUACCCAAAGUCUGGUGCAGCUGAUUCCAAAACUUUGAGGUAAAUUGUGUUCCUCUAUCUGAUACGAUGGUCCUCGGAACUCCAUGCAGAAAUACGGUCCCGGUCGUAUAUAUCUUGGCCAACUUCGCACUUGUAUAGGUGGUUUUCAUUGGGAUAAAGUGAGCCACUUUGGUCAAGCGAAUCAACUACUACCCAGAUAGAAUCAUAUCCCGUUCUGGUUCUGGGAAAUCCGGUAAUGAAAUCCAUGCCAAGCUUAUCCCACUUCCAUUCGGGUAUCGGCAUAGGCUGUAGAAAUCCUGCUGGCUUCUGAUGCUCUGCCUUUACUCUCUGGCAUACAUCACCUUCGACUACAUACUCGGCAAUAUCCUUCUUCAUACCAGUCCACCAGAAAUGCUCCUUAAAAUCCAAAUACAUCUUGGUGUUUCCAGGGCGAAUCGAGUAUGGUGAGUCAUGAGCCUCCUGAAGUAGUAACUUCCUGAUCUUUGCAUUAUUGGGCACAUAUACACGGUCCUCGAACCAUAAGGUGUCGGGCUCAUCCUUACGAAAAUCCUUGGCCUUUCCUUUGCUCAUUCUCACUUUUAUCUCGGCAAUCUCUUUGUCAUCCUUCUGAGCUUCACGGAUCUUUCCCAACAAUGUAGACUGAACUUCCAUUGCUGCAACAAAACCUUUGGGAACAAUCUCCAACCGAAGUUCCCUGAGAUCCUCUUCUAACUCCUUUGGUAAUCCUCCGCUUAUGAGGGUAUUCGUCCUUGUUUUCUUUAUGGUUGUGUCCUAUUUCUCCACAAAGCUUGCAUGCGCACGUUUUCUUCAUAUCCUUCCCAUAAGGCCUCAACUUUUGGGACACAAGCCAAGACUUUAACAAAGUCCACUUAAAUUCCUUCCAAGUGGUUACUUCUUGCCAUCCAUUGAUGGUUUGGUACAUCCUCCACCAAGUAGCAGCACCUCUUUCAAAACAUUGAAGAGCAUGCCGGGUCAUAUCCCUCCCGGCUAUAGGGUUAUUCUCCAUGUGAUCCUCCAUGUUCUGAAUCCAUCGGUCCGUCUCCAAUUGACUCAUCGGUCCAGAAAAUACAAACUCAUCUCCAUUCAUCCUCUAUUGGGUCCAUGGGUUUGGGGUGAGAUAAGAGAGGUCGAGAGGGAUGCACACAAUACAAACAAAAUUUUGAAAAGACAGAUUUUUUUAUUGUGGCUAUCGGAAAAACAACAAACAAAUGACAGCUCACAAACGUCGCAUCUAACGUAGGUAUAAUAGGGGUUUGGUCUUCUAAAGGUCAAUAAGUCUUCAACGUCGCCAAACUGUUCAAGUCUUGUUAAUGUCUCCGAUGGCUUCUUCCAAUCAUGCUUGUCCUUCUCAAGUUCUUUUGCCAAAUCAUCUCUGUUGACGCGAAGUCUCUCGUGACGUCCUUUAAAUUUCUGGAGUUGCGUUCCAAAAUUCUGGGUUUCAACAUCCUUGACAUGAACCAUGAUCCUACUGUCCUUCAGUUCCUGACGAGUCUUUGAUGUCUCGAGGUUUUGCUCCUCCAUCAUGGCUACUUUCAACUUCUGGGUUCUGAGUUCUUCACGAAACGCUUACUUGCCGAAUACUGCUUCCUAAAGGUUCAUCUUUAAACUUCCUGAUGUAAUGCUCCAGAUCCUGGUGAUACACCAGCUAAGGUUAAAACUUCGUCUUGCUGAUAGGUGCUCCAUCAGCCUUCUACCAUCCAAUCCUUCCAUGCAUCUGCAUGCUUAACUCCGCAUGGUGACAAUAGCGUAAAUGGGUAAUAACACCAUGGUCAGCCGUGUCUAUGCCCAUGUUACUGCCAUGAGCUUUCAUUCCAUAACUGAUAUCUCCUGUCUUUGGGUUUUCUUAACAAAAACUUUGAGUUUCUAACUCUCCAUGUUUCGGUCUUUCUCCGAUACACCUUGAUCUCGGGCAUUGACGGCUUCCAUAGUCUACCAAGUUCCAUGAGGGUAACCUUCCUAGGUCAUACACAUCUGGCAAUUCUUCAGAGCCUUCAAAUUCUCCCAGUCUUCGGAAUCUUCAACCCUUGUGGUUUCCAUUAUCAUAAUGCAUGGUAAAAUCCCCUUCAUUCCGUAGUGGUCGUGGUUGUCCGAUAUCUUGUACUUCUUGGAUUGGUCUCAUCAGUCGAAUCUUUGAGUGGUCAAAAGGGGAAAGGGAUAUGGUCUACUAAAAGGGAAUAUUUGAAUAAGCUCAGAAGAGAAGAGAGGUAAAAGAUCCUUUUGAAAAAGAAAGUUUUAGAGAAAAUCCUUUCUAUGGGCUUGCCAGUUUCUAGGGUCACGUCCUACAGUCAACAUGUGCUCUGAUACCAUCUUGUAAUGACCCGACCCAAAUGGAUCAAGUCUCUGUGCUUAAGUGUCAUCCCUGGAUCGGUAUGCUGACACACACAGUACUCGAGGAUUUAUAACAGAGGUAAAUCACAUGUAUAAAAUAACAUAAAUACUAUUACCUCAAUCCAAAAUAGCGGAAGUAACAAGGUUGUGGAUUCCCAUCAACACCAACGGCAAAGUUGAGUGUAGAAAUCGUAACCCUAACGUAUCACUUACUCGUCUUAAGAAUCCUGCAACAUGAAACGUUGCAGCCCGAAAACGGGUCAGCACAUGGAAUAUGCUGGCAAAUUCAUACCAUAGAGAAAUGAUGAACAAAGGCUAUCACUACAUGCAUAUAUGGCUGGUGGAAAAUCUCUAUGGUUAUAAUGUUUUUGCGAAAAGCCAAUUUUUCCCUACUUCAAAGGAAUAAAUUUUAUUUAACUAUCAUGGUGGUUGUGAAACAUUGAGAUGGUUGACAGCAUCUCAAUCCCAAUUAAGAAUGUGAUUAAACCCAAAUCAAAUUUAAAUUAAGUAACAUGAUGAGAUCAACGGGAUAAUCCAAGAACUAGAUACUCAAGAUGUCCAUAACCGGGGACACGGCUAAUCAUGAUUAGUUUGUACACUCUGCAGAGGUUUGCACACUUUUCCCCACAAGACUCGAUCUCCUCCGUUGGAUUUCUCACACUACAUGGUGUUUGAGAAACGGAUGAUCGAGACACAGUCUUUCAGAAGCAUUUACUCUCUACUCCGGGCAGACCGUUACACCUACAAUCCCCCUACAUCUGCUAGUCCACCUCUUCAAGAGCUCACACAACUUACUCAACUAUGCCAGUGCCCAUAAUGGCUUCUGGCUGCACACGGAAGUUUCUAGCAUGAAUAAUCUUAUGAUCCCUUUGAGUCUGGGUGGCGGUCCAUAGGAUGAUCACACGGGUACUCCGGGAUAUCCAAAAAUACAGGCAACACUGGGUUCUCUAGGUGCCUCAAUCCACCCAGAUGUUUAUUUAAGUAGCCACCUUAAGUUGAACCAUUAAUUAACAAUCUCACAUCUGUCAUGGAAAUUGACUCAAACCCAAUCCACGUCUACGAGCAUAGCAUAGCAAUAUAAGAAAACGUGAAGUAACUCCCAAAGGUUUGAUUGUAAACAGGGCAAUAGGUACUACCUCAUCAACUACUUCCCAAUACCCACAUGUUAUCAAUCCUACUCAUGCAAUGUUUGAGGGUUGAAUCUAAUGCAUAAAAACUGGGUAUGAAAGGGAUAUGAUCAAAGUGUGAACUUGCCUGCAAUGUUGAUGAAGAUGAUUCGCACUCAAUACUCUGGAUAGAUCUACUCGUCACACUCCGGUCAAUCUAUCGUAAGCAAGCAAUGGUAACCACACAUAAGCAAUCACUCAAAAGAUCAGAAAGAACGAGGAAAACAAUUCGGAAAACUUCAAAACCAAGGAAAUAACUCUUGCAACAUAAAACAAUUUCUAACAGUACCCAAAAUUAGGUGAAUUUGGCCUUAUCAGAAAGUUUAGGUCAAGAGCUUCGGUUUGCAAAAAGAAUCAACUCAAACGGAGUUACGGAACUUAAGUUAUGAUAAAAAGAAGUUUGAAUUCAAAUAUGAUCUACUUCAAAUUUUUAAAAUUUCAAAAACAUGUUUGAGUUGGAUUACUGGUUAGAGGAGAUCAUAAUGAAGACGUGGGCAUUGGUUUCGUUGGAUUUGGACAAACGAGUAAAAAGUUGUAGACGUUGGAAAUCAGGGGCUAAUCUAUAAAUAAAUUAUUCAUAGAUGGGUCCCUGGCCGAAAAUAACAGAAAAAUAAAAAGCUAAAUAGUGAACGUUCAUUUAUAGGAUCUAAACAGUGGACGUUCGCAGUAUAACUAAACUUAGAAAAAACAGAUCUAGGUUUUCUGUAGAAAACCGAUCUAGG
rnacentral:lncRNA from 1 species